CUAAUGCCGGAUAUUGUAGUCUACUGCAUAGUAGGCCAACGAAAGAUUUAUUGCUGUGGGAUGAGCUUGCGUCCGAUUAGCUAGUUGGCGGGGUAAUAGCCCACCAAGGCGACGAUCGGUAGCCGGCCUGAAAGGGUGAUCGGCCACAUUGGGACUGAGAUACGGCCCAGACUCCUACGGGAGGCAGCAGUAGGGAAUAUUGCGCAAUGGGGGAACCCUGACGCAGCAACGCCACGUGUGGGGAGAAGCAUUUCGGUGUGUAAACCACUGUCGGAAAGGAAUAACGGAAGACUUCGGUCUUUAUGAAUGUACUUUUAGAGGAAGCACCGGCAAACUUCGUGCCAGCAGCCGCGGUAAUACGAGGGGUGCAAGCGUUGUUCGGAAUCACUGGGCGUAAAGGGAGCGUAGGCGGAAGUGCAAGCAAUCUGUAUAAUCCUGGGGCCCAACCCCAGUUCUGCAGAUUGGACUGUAUUUCUUGAAUAGUUCAGAGGCAAGCGGAAUUUCUGGUGUAGCGGUGGAAUGCGUAGAGAUCAGAAAGAACACCAAUGGCGAAGGCAGCUUGCUGGGGACUUAUUGACGCUGAGGCUCGAAAGUAUGGGUAGCAAACAGGAUUAGAUACCCUGGUAGUCCACACUGUAAACGAUGCAUACUGGGUGUCCGAAAUUCGUUUCGGGUACCGUAGCUAACGCGUUAAGUAUGCCGCCUGGGGAGUACGUACGCAAGUAUGAAACUCAAAGGAAUUGACGGGGGCCCGCACAAGCGGUGGAGCAUGUGGUUUAAUUCGAAGCAACGCGCAGAACCUUACCAGGGUUUGACAUGGGAUCGCCGCGGCGAGAGAUAAUCACUAGU
rnacentral:rRNA from 1 species